rnacentral:misc_RNA from 1 species
AACGCAUAUUGCGCUCUCUGGUAUUCCGGGGAGCAUGCCUGUUUCAGCAUCAUUUGAAUAUCUCAAAAUCAUUUUUUUGAUGGUUUUGGAACGUUGGGCUUUUCUGUUGUGAUACUAAUUAAACACAACUAGCCUGAAAUUUGUGAAAAACAAAUGCAAGAAAAAUGUGGAUGUGCUUUGUUGCAAAGACGAAAAGCUUAUUAGUUGACUGUGGUCAAAUUUGCUGACUAGUCUUAAAAAACUAAGCAAGUCUGCUCACAAAUUGAUCUGAAAUCAGGUAGGAUUACCCGCUGAACUUAA